GGCCGCUGGAAUAUGCAUGAAUUUAUUAUUAAUGUUUUCAAUCAGCCUCAAUUUUUGUGUCUGUUCAAAGUAGCACGUUCUCAAAUCCGACUGAAAGUCUUUCUAAUACAACACAGGGUACCGGUAAAAUAAAUAUAAACUGUACAUCUGUCCAGUGCAUAUAACGUGUUGUCAUUCUCAUAUGCACAUGAUAUUUGUCACUGGACGAAAAACCCUAAUUCGUAAGCAUCCUCCAAUUGGUUCUUUAUUUCUAUUACUUAAUCAUAUGUUGUUUACAAAAAAAAGUAAAAUCACAAAAAUACUGAACUUAGAGGAAAAUCAAUUCGGAAAGUCCAUAAUCACAUGGCAAAAUCAAAUAACAAAACGUAUCAAAAACGAAUGGACAAGAACUGUCAUAUUCCUGACUUGGUACAGGCAUUUUCAAAUGUAGAAAAUGGUGGAUUAAACCUGGUUCUAUAGCGCUAACCCUCUCACUUUAAUGACAGUCUCAUAAAAUUCCGUUAUAUUUACAUUGAUGGCGUUAAAUAAACAGACACAAUAAAUAAAAUAGUCAAAAUAUGGGUACAUCAGUCAUCAUCGUAUAACAAUUUUAAAAGGAACAAUUUUAAAA
rnacentral:lncRNA from 1 species